GCUUCAGUUCAUACUACCAAUUUCAUCUGCAGAUCUUUGGUAGAUACCGAUGAUUGGAGUUAAUACUGAGGAUCAAAUGGAAUUUCAUUCAUAAAAAAGAUCUUGAUCGCCUUUGGACCCUCUAUCCGCCAUGGUACAAGAUCUAUGGUUCUUGAUUUUGGCAGAGAU